UCGAUGGGGAGAAGCAUAGUGUCUGCAUUGUCCAUCCCUUUUGUAGAGAGUAACGAGUGAUGGAGUUAUUCCCGUCCUUGGAUUCAAUAGAUGAACCACGAGAUCUAGGGUUGGCAACAGAGAUUCGAGGCAUGGAGUUUGUUGUUUGAGAGAAGGCAG